rnacentral:miRNA from 1 species
UGGCUGUGAUGAAUUUGUGUCACAGGG